rnacentral:rRNA from 1 species
CGCCUGGCUUAUACCAUGUUGAAUACACCGGUUCUCGUCUGAUCACCGGAGUUAAGCAACGUCGGGCGCGGUCUGUACUUGGAUGGGUUGCCUGGGAACACCGCAUGACGUUGGCGU